AGAUAACAUUUUCUAUGCCUUAAUUGAAUCCCCUUUUGCCCAUGAAAAGAAUCAAUCAGAAUCAAUCAUGUUCUUCGGGUGAACCUUCAACUUUGGGUUUACAAAAAAAAAGUCGCUUGCUUGAAAUUUAUUAAAAGUAAUGAAUCUGACAUUCCAGUCAUCAUCAUAUUUUUGUUGAAGGUGAAAAAGACACUAUCCACCUUCUGUGGAUGUUUUUAGCAACACAGAUUGAUCCCGUUUGUAAACAACUUUGAAUAUUCUUAUUCUUGCAGUAAAAAAAUAGAUUUAGGUUUUCAACUUUCAACAACUCUAUAGGUGUUAACGUAAAAUGCUAGAAACCAUGGUGUUAUAGGUUGAGAGGUACCUCCACUGGGUCCUUCCCCGUUGUGCCCAAUUAUACCAUUCUAGAAACUAUUUAACUGCUUCCAUUUAUCUCUUCUCAUUUCUCUAUUUUGAUGAGAGGAAUUAUGUUACUGGCUAUCUAAAUAGGCCUACCUGUAGCAGUCUUUAAGCAUUUUCCCCCCUAUCCCUUUGCCUGUGUUAGUUUAUCAUGCUUGCGUAUUCGUUAAUUAUUUCAUUGUUCUUCCCUACCGUCAUUUACACGGCCAGUAGAAUGUGCCGACAUGCACUUGUCGAGAAAUAUCAGUUGAAGACCUUCAUGCCUUAAAAGGAAUACAAGAGAUAAUAUUCAAUUCGAUCAUUUCAUCAACUACGGCGGAGGCCAACGGAAGAUUCCACAGCUGUGCAUCGAUUGUGAGAAAAUAGGCGGGUUGAGGGUGAGAAAAUCCAUUGGAGCCGGCUGUAAUCCUACCAGUGUCAAGCUGCAUGGCUCGCCGAUCCUUUCACCGGUUAUCGACGCGCCUUGUUGUGUUAGUAACUCUGAUCUAAAUUUUCCUUUCUCUUCCUUUGACGCCUUCGCUUUUAUUAGACGUGACAACCUUCGUCGACAUGCAAGUGGCCGGGCGUGUCCUAAACUCCUAUUAACUUGCCCGUCAAAAGAACUGAUUUAGCCUACUGACAACACUGACCAAAUCAGCAUCGCUUCCAUUAUUCUGAUCAAGGAGGCCCAACUUACCAAGCAACGACCGUCCAGAACGGGCAUGUCGAAUAAUCCUUCAACAAGCCACAACUUUGCCGUCAUUUUAAAAGCGGAAAUGGCCAUUCGAUCGCUUCCAUCCAGCGGCAAGGGUAGACUUCCAAUCCUCUUUCGAUGUCAUUCAGCGAUUGGUCCAGCAGGAGGCGCCUCUGGAUGACUUCCCGGGUGGACGCCAAAUCCCGUCCGUUUAUCUUCUCCAGGACGGCGAAGAUUUUCUGGUAAUUCUCCUGGCCCAUUUGCCAGAAGAGCUCGUCGAAGGAGAAAUCGUCCUCGUCCUGCUGCUCGUUGGAAGCGUAGAGAACGGAAUUGUCGAAUUUGCUGUAGGCGAUUCCGCCGGCCGACGUCACGGGAAAUUUGGCGGAUGCGCAGGCCUCAACCACUGGCGGAUGGGCCAUGUCGGCGAAUGUCACCAGCAGGCGGAUGUUAUCCUUGACGUCUCUGCCAAACAGCGAGAGAACCGAGUCGAGGAUGUAGGGAUGCAUCGACGUCGACCGGAUGUCGUUGAAUGCGGCCACGAAGUAGACGGCGUGAAUUUGAUCGACUCCGAACUGUUACUGGAAAACUGAAACUUAACUCAACUGAAGACUUAUUGGCACUUCGCCGCCCGUAAAUAUAUAAGGGGACUGGACCUUUCUGCCCACAUGCCGCCCACUUUCUUUCAUCUAUUAUAUAUUCAACUCGUGCGGACUCAUCCUUUAUUUUAUAACUGGGCGUACUAUGUGUGCGGGCUUUGAGCGACGUUUGACUGAAAUCAUACGGUGGUUCAGAGCGAAUUGAAUACGAGGCCGCGCUGUCCGAGACCAAGUCGGCGAUGGUAAACUGUUGGCAGCCAUCCGGAUGGCGCGCUGCGAAUGUGAUCUAUGAUCCCCCACCAUAUAGAACUUCUCCGUCGUCCAUCCAGCGCCCAAUGCCACCACGUCCGCAAUCGUGUAGACUGCUGUAGAGAGUAAUUGUAUGCGCAUCUUGUAUUGAAUUCGAAAAGCGUUUGAUUGUAACAUCUUUUUUUCUGAAAUGUUGAUGUUUGUGAAAAUUUCCGGUUUUGUUGUUGUUGAGGAUUAUUUGACUCAUCACUCUAUCAAGUAUCAACUCGGCUUUUUUCCCCAUCAUCGGCGACCGUAAAAAUCGGCCAACGGCAGAUAUCCCGCGGAGCCGAUCCGCACAUAUCUGAUAAAACAGCAGAAAAAAUCCAAUAAAACAAAAAAACAAAAACAGUGUGUGUGUGUGUGUGUGUGUGUGUGU